AAGAAUUUAAUCUCUCCCACUUAAGCUUUGCUGAUGACACUUUGGUGUUCACCGAAGGAACUCCACAGUCUCUCCAUGCUACGCUAGAGGUAUUUGCAGACUUUGCGUGUAUGUCGGGCCUAAAUAUAAACAUCUCCAAAUCCUCGAUUUUUGCUGCGAGCAGAGGUAAAGCUUCCCUUGAGCAAGCUGCGGUGAAUUCUGGUUUAGAGGUAUGUGCAUUACCUAUUCGUUAUCUUGGACUUCCGCUUACAACAAAAGCUAUGUCUAGGGUCGAUUACGAACCGUUGAUUGAUACGAUUAGAGACAGAUUAACAAGCUGGACUACGAGGUUUUUAUCCUAUGCAGGUAGGGUCCAACUAAUCAAAUCGGUCAUAGCAAGCAUCACAAAUUUUUGGUGCUCCGUUUUCACCCUCCCGAAGAAAUGUUUUAAGGAAAUCGAAGGCAUGUCUUCUGUGUUCCUUUGGAGUGGCUCUCCAAAUAUUCUUUAUUUGGAAGGUACUAUCAGGCUCUGGUUCUUUAUGGGUAGCAUGGGUCCGUCGGUAUCUAAUAUGGGAAGGCACACUCUGGGAUGUAAAGGAGACUACUCUGGGUUCAUGGCAAUGGCGAAAACUUUUAAAGUUGAGGCCAUUGGCAGCUGAGUUUAUGAAAUGUGAAAUUGGAGAUGGAGAAACACUUUCUUUUGGCUUGAUAGAUGGCUUCCCAUGGGACGGCUGAUGGACAUAUUGGGGACUACAAAUCAGCUUGGAAUCUCUAAAUUCGCUAAAGUCUCUGAGGUAGUAGAUACAUCGGGAUGGAGAUUCCGCAGAUGUCGGGACAAAAUUUUAAGGGAUAUAAUCCAACACAUACGACGAAUCAAGGUACCAACAGGUAAUGCGGGAAGGGAUGUGGUUCUGUGGCGACACUCACCGGAUGACUACCGACCAGUGUUUGCGGCUGCUACUACAUGGGAACAGCUGCGAACACGUGGAGAAGCAAAGGAAUGGUGUAAGAUUGUCUGGUUCCCGCAAAAUGUCCCUCGGUUUGCUUUUAUCACCUGGUUGGCAAUAAGGGAUAGACUCACCACGGGGUCACGGAUGAGAGCAUGGGGAGAUAGUCAAUCCUGCCUCUUAUGUGGGAAACUGGAGGAAACACGUGAUCACUUAUUUUUUGCAUGUCUUUAUUCUUUCAUGGUGUGGAUACGGGUAGUGGGUGACCUGCUCCGGGCUGACCCGGAUCCUGACUGGACAGCGACGGUUCAGAGGCUAACAACACAUUCGUUUGAAAGAUAUGACUACAUUCUCAUCCGGUUGUGUUUCCAAGCAACUAUAUACUACUUAUGGCGAGAGCGUAACGAAAGGAGACACAGUAAGUAGCACCGUACACACUCAUUGUUGGCUAGGACGAUUGAGCGGGUGAUAAAGACAAGAAUCAUGUCUUUGAGAUACUUUGAAAGUAAGAAGCUAAGAGGUUUGAUGCAAAGAUGGCACAGUUCACAUUCGACUUAAUAGGUGGCUAUUGCUCUGUUUUGCUAUACGUUUCUUUGCUCUGUUUUUCUACUCAUGUUUUGGCUCUGAUAUUUGUUCAUUUACCGACUAUCUAUAAGAUUGUUAACUCGUUACAAUGGGUCAACAAGUGAACCAUUACUCUUUGCUGGUCUCGGGAAUUGAGCUGGAAUCCAGGGAUCCUCCCAAACUGAUAUGGAUGUCUCCGAUCUGACACUUUUGAUAAGUCCUUUAUUAACCAAAGAUCUAGCUGAACAGAUACUACGCCAUCCAUAUGAUGGGGAGUAUGAUUUUAUAUUUUCCAAGGGAUUGGAUUUCCGAAAAUACUGCCCUUUUAACACCUUCGCGAAAAGAAAAUCUGGAACUGUAAUCAACCGCCACAAUUGUUUGGCUAAUUGGGCUGAAGUAAAAUCGUCUACAUUCUGAAAACCUAACCCUCUUUCCGAUUUGCUAUUGCACAACUUGUUCCAAGCCAUCCAGUGCAUACCUCUGGAAUCCCCAUUUGAACUCCACCAAAAUUUAGCAACCGCACUAGUAAGUUUAGAAGUGAUUUUUUUGUUAGUCCGAAGCACGACAUAACAUAAUUUGGUAAUGCUGCAGCUACCGAUUUAAUCAUUACUUCUUUCUCACCUUUUGAUAAAAAUUUUGCCGACCAUCCAUUAAUUCUUAUUUGCAAUCUAACUAUGACAAAAGAGAAAAUUUUUGUUUUAGAUCCACCCAAACACUCUGGCAAACCGAGAUAAGAGCCCAUCCCACCGAUAUUAAUGAUUCCCAAGGUAGAUUUGAUUUCAUCCUUGAUAUCCUCAUCUACCUUAUGUCCAAACUGAAUCGAGGAUUUUAAAAAAUUAAUCCGCUAUUCUGACACCGCUUCAUAUUUCUUUAAAAUCACCAAAAUUACCUCACACUGGUCCUUGUUUGCCGUACAAAAGAAUAAACUAUCAUCCGCAAAUAACAGAUAGAAAACCGAUAGGCUUGCAUUUGCUAUCUUAAUACCUGUAAUUAGUUUUUCCCUUUCUGCUUUCCGAAUAUUCACAAUUAGCACCUCUUUACAAAAGAUGAAUAAAUAAGGAGAUAGCGGAUCUCCUUGUCAUAAUCCCCUUUCCGGUACAAUUAGUCCUCUAGGUUGUCCAUUAAGGAGCACUCUAUAUUGAACUGUUGUAAUACACCACAUUAUCUAGUUGAUCCAUUUUUCGCAGAAACCCAAUUUUCUUAGAACCUUCUCAACGAAAAUCCAUUCCACCCUAUCAUACGCUUUACUCAUAUCAGUUUUAAUAGCCAUGAAAUUUCCUUUACAUGAAGGUUAGUUCUCAACCUAUGAAACAUCUCUUGUGUAAUAAAUAUAUUAUUAGAAAUCAAUCGUCCUUCGACAAAAGCCGACUGUGUUUCCGAGAACAGUUUUGGUAAAACUGUUUUAAGUCUUUGACAAAGAAUCUUUGAUAUAAUUUUAUAGCCCACAUUACACAGACUUAUAGGCCGUAAUUCUGGCAUCGGUGUCGGUCUUUCCGUUUUUGGAAUUAGACAAAUGUUAGUCGUAUUUAACCGUUUGUCGAAAAUUCCAUGCUCUAAAAAAGAAUUAACCUAAACAAGAAGAUCUGAUUUAAUUGUAAGCCAAGCCUUUUGAAAAAAUAAGGCUGUCAUGCCAUCGGGCCCUGGCAAUUUUUCCAGAUGGUUCAGAAACAGAGCUGUUCUCACCUCACUCCGUAGCAUGUACCGUUAGAAAAUUAUUAAGCCGAUUCGUAAUCAGACUUUGUAUUUCUGCCAAGGACUCCUCUAAAGCCUCGGUCUUAGUUGUAGUAAACAGAUCUUUAAAAUAAGAAACAACUAUAUUUUGAAUAUCUUUAUCCUCUGCAGACCGAAUCCCGUUUUCAUCAUAUAGCCCCGUAAUCAGAUUCCUUGCCCGUCUCUGUUUUGUUAGAGCGUGAAAGUACUUUGAGUUAUUAUCUCCUAGUUGCAUCCAAGAGCACCUACUUUUUUGAUACCAGUACAAUUCUCAUCUCAAUAAGCUUCUUUCAACCGCAAUGUUAAUUCCGUAAUCUCCUGUCAUCACUCUGUGCCACCUGUAAUUCCGAUUUAAGUUCCACAAUUGUUUGUCGCCCAUAAGGAGUUAGUUCUUUCCUCCAUUGCGAAAUAGCCCGCCUACAGUUAUUCAACUUUUCCACAAAUUUUCCUUCUCCUAAUUCAGAAUCCGAAUUCCAACCAUUUGAAAUUGCCUCCAUUAAUCCUUCCUUUCCAAUCCAUCUCUUGUAUAACCUAAAACUUUGUUUCCCGCGUGGUAUCUACUAUACAUUUUUGCAGCAGUUUUAAGGGAUCCUAAUCGGGUCGGAUUUUUUUUAAUUUUGACCCCGGAAAUCUUUGUUGAUUCUGACCCGGAAAAUUCAAUCUCGGAUCUUACCUUAAUUGAUCAUUUGACCCGAAAUAUCUCAAUCCAAUCCUACCAUAUUUGAUACUUUCCUACAUAAAAUCCAAACCACAUUUACUCAAUAUAUCAAGAGUAUAUGUAGUUAUAACUUAUAAUAAACCGAUAUUUGCAAAUCAAUUUGUUUUUAUAAACCGAUAUUUGCAAAUCAAUUUGUUUCCUAAUAAAAUGCUAGAGAUUUAAGCGUUUAGCAUUUGUUUCCUAACAAAAUUGAACCAUAUUAAUUUGAUAUUCAAACAUUCUGAAAUUACGAUAUUUUUUAGAUAUUUUUACUUGCUCACCAAGAUUUUCUCUGCUCACACAAAACCCUACCAUAUAUCUUUUCAAAGCACUAUAUAUAUAUAUAUAUAUAUAUAUAUAUGUCUCAUUCGCAUCAACUAAUAUCACAAGGAUCGCAACUAAGAUCAAAAGGUAUUUAUGUCUCAUAUUUUCUUAAACACAUUUUAUACUCAUCUAGGAACUCAAUAGUUUCUUCUUUUAAAAGAAUAAGAUCACAAUGUAUGAAUGCCUAUAGGCUCAAGAAAAGCAUCGAAGUUCAGAUGAGGGUGAGCCACUAUUCGAUUGUAUAGACUCUAAAGAAGAGUACCACACAAAAAAUGCAGAUCAUUACAUUGCAUCCUCAAGUGCACGUGAGGAUUAUACCAAAUCCAUUGCUAAUUGUUUUGCAUAUCCAAUAAACCUAUCCAAGAACCAUCUUUAUGUAUUUUCUUGAAGCUAUGUUAUUCUUUGGAUUAUCAAAUAUAUAUUAUUUUUUGAUUUGCUAUAUACUUUUAUAUAUAGCAGCAAUAUAAACCACAUCAACAGAUAAGUCAGACUCAACAUUAAAAUGAGUAAGAACUAUCUAAAUGAUAUUCUCCAACAUAGAAACAAACAAAGCUUCCAAACUAUCAUGGAAAGAAGAAGUCAUUGCUUUUCUACAUUUAAGAAGACUUCAAACUAAUAACUAUUCACAGUAUUUUGAAA